rnacentral:lncRNA from 1 species
AACACCAAUUUAACAAAUCUCCUAGUGGCACACAGUUUUAUUGAUAACAAUUAGCUGCAACAAAAAACAAAUUAAAAUUCAAUCACAAAACUACAUAAUAGUACUGUUUGUCAUGAUACAAGAAUGUUAAGAAUAAGAUGAAAAUAACUACACUUUUGUAAAAAGCUACUUCGAAUUUUUAAAACAGUUGUUAACCCAAGGAUUUAUUAAUGCUAUAAAAUACAUCAUUGAUGGAUUCAGGUGGGAGAGUAGAAAUACCUUUUUCUGGGCAUAAAAUCGUCAAAAACAAAAUUCCACACUAUGAAGACAAUUUUAACAUUACAGGCAAUUGCAACCAUUUCCUCUCAACUCAGGACUCCCAUCUACACACCCUUUCCCCCUUUACACUGAUUACAGUAAGACUUUUCGUUGUAAAUCAAUAUUGUUAAUUUGUUUUGAUGUCUUUUGAGCCUAAAAAUAUUUCCUUCAUUUUCAAAUUGCUGGAAUAAAAAAAAUCCUUCCAUAUUCAAAAUUUUAGAUGAAAUGCAAAUUUCCAAACUUGUAUAACCUAACCCAAUUUGGACAUCAUUUUCCCCCUAGAUAACUUUCCAUUGUAUAAGUUUUAUCUUCUUACAUUUCUACUUUGAGAAGGGACAAGGUGAUUGUUAUAUGGUCCCUUUCCAGAGUCUGCAGUAUAAAAUUAGUAUAAACAUCUAUAAUGUACUUUAAGGAUGUCAACUAACUGGUAGUCUAAUAGUCUUAUGUAUUUUAAUUGUAUGCCAUAUAUCUGUGAAUUGUGAGUAUUUUACCAUUUUAAAUAAUAAAAAUAAAAAUUGUGAACUUAGAAAAAGAGAAUAAAAUAAAAGAUUGGACAAUUAGUGAAAAUAUAUACAUUUUAUAAAACGUCAAAAACAUUCAGCGAAAAUCAGUAUAUAUUAUGAAAGACUCAAAUAUCAUGCAUAUAAGAAUUGGCAAAUAUUGGAUCGUCUCUUUACAAAAUAUCUUCAUUUGGUGGUGUUUGGUAGGUGGCUAUUUUUUCAGCGGUCACAUUGUUUAAAAAAAAAACAUUCUUCAGACAUACACAUUUUAUAUCAUACAUGAUAAUAAAACUAACAAUGGAGUUUUUCAUGUCAGAGAAAAUUGAAAGCUGUCAACCUUGGUGAUAUUCAGAGAAAAGAAGAAAUUCUUUAUUAUUGCAUAGCAAUAUAAUAUUUCCCACAGAAAGUAACCAGAAGUUAGCGUGCAAUAAAUUCCAAUAUUGCACUAGUGAAAUAAAUCUUCAAAAUUCAUGACGUCAUCAAAAACAAAAUCUUAGUUUAAACCAAUUUUUACUUUCAAAUAUUAUAUUAUGCUAUACAAUAAAAGGGUUAUUGCAUGAAUAUUAGUGACUAUUGUCCCUCAAAGAACAUAUAUUGCACUCGCAAGCUCGUGCAAUAUAAAAUUCAACGCGGGACAAUAUUCCCCAAUAUUCAUGCAAUAACCCUAUAUUAAUAAAUAACACAUACAAAAGUAAAUUUGUUAGCUGGCAGUAUAAAUAUUACGCUGAUGUACUGUGGAUUUAUUCAUUUUUCAUGGGUACAAAUAUUUGGCGGAUUGGGGAAAAUGGUAUUUUGGUGAAUUGGGGAAAAUGGUAUUUUGGUUGAUUGGGGAAAAUGGUAUUUUGGUGAAAUGGGGAAAAUGGUAUUUUGGUGGAUUGGGGAAAAUGGUAUUUUAGUGGUUUUUGUUUAAGUCUGCUUUCAAGCGUUUAGGAAAUUUGAACUUCGUUAAACAUGAUUAGAAAAAAAAUUGGUGGUUCACCUUUAUCAAAGAAAAUCCAUGAAAAUUUAUAUCAAAAAGUAAUGAUGAAUUCACAGUAUUCUGACAGUCUUAUACUGUAUGGGUGAGUUAACUUUUGUUUUGAACAUGGAGUGAAGAUUUAUUACAGAGAUAUAAGAUCUCCACACACAUUAACAAUAUAAAUAUAAAACAAAUACAAAAAAAAAGUCCCCAAAAACCAAAACAAUAUUAAAAUAUAUAUGAGACCAUAUAAGAAACUACUAUGGAAUUUUUUUUCAUGGGUACAAAUUUUGUGAAAUGAGGAAAAGUUGUGAAACUAUUGAUGUUUGAUUUCAUGAAUUAAAAACAAAUUUGCCAAAGACUCAAUACUAGCCUGUACAGAGUUCAUACUUCAUUGGAAAUUAAAUUUGGUGUUUUAUCUAAACCAACAAUUCCCCAAAAAUUGUUACAAAAAAAAAUAGCAAUGAAUACACAUAGCACAAAUUCAAACAAAUAGUACAUGUAAUAUUAAAAUUGAACUGAAAUGGCACUAAUAAAAUCUGAUUUCUCAGGUCAAUCUUAAUAAUAAUCAUAAGGGGCUUGUUUUUCCUUUUGAGUAUUCUGUUUAUAACUAAUUUAAAAACUGUCUUUAUUACAAAAAUGUCAAUAUUAAAUCUAAAGUAACACAGUUACAUAAAAAUAAUAUGUACUCAUUUAUUAUGAAAUUUUGAAUUUGAAAAUUAAAAAGAGAAAUAGUUUCUUUAAAGGGGAAAUAACCCUUCUCCUCUCUCCAGCUAUGAAAACUGAACAUGACCUUUUGAACUAAUACACCACUCAUAUACUGACUGACAUGUGAACGUAUUUUUCAAGGAUACAAAUCUGCAAUUUAAAUUGUGACAUCAAUAAUAUGUUAUUGCCCUUGACAUGAUUUUGCAUAGAACUGUUAUAACCAUAGGCAUCAAAACAAUUUAAAAAUUUUGUAGUAUUAGCAGUAAUCCUAUUAGAGUACUGAACUCAUAACAUAU